rnacentral:rRNA from 1 species
UGGGGAAUUUUGGACAAUGGGCGCAAGCCUGAUCCAGCCAUGCCGCGUGAGUGAAGAAGGCCUUCGGGUUGUAAAGCUCUUUCGGACGGGAAGAAAUGGCGGGCUCUGACAUAGCCUGUCGAUGACGGUACCGUAAGAAGAAGCACCGGCUAACUACGUGCCAGCAGCCGCGGUAAUACGUAGGGUGCGAGCGUUAAUCGGAAUUACUGGGCGUAAAGCGUGCGCAGGCGGUUUUGUAAGACAGAUGUGAAAUCCCCGGGCUUAACCUGGGAACUGCGUUUGUGACUGCAAGGCUGGAGUACGGCAGAGGGGGGUGGAAUUCCACGUGUAGCAGUGAAAUGCGUAGAGAUGUGGAGGAACACCGAUGGCGAAGGCAGCCCCCUGGGCCUGUACUGACGCUCAUGCACGAAAGCGUGGGGAGCAAACA